rnacentral:tRNA from 1 species
GGGGGGAUACUCAAGUGGCCAACGAGGAUAGACUGUAAAUCUAUUGGCUUAUGCCUUCGCAGGUUCGAAUCCUGCUCCCCCCACCA